rnacentral:rRNA from 1 species
CGUAGGCGCAAGCGUUGUCCGGAAUUAUUGGGCGUAAGAGCUCGUAGGCGGUUGUCGCGUCUGGUGUGAAACUCAAGGGCUCAACCUUGAGCUUGCAUCGGGUACGGCAGACUAGAGUGUGGUAGGGUGACUGGAAUUCCUGGUGUAGCGGUGGAAUGCGCAGAUAUCAGGAGGAACACCGAUGGCGAAGGCAGGUCACUGGGCCACUACUGACGCUGAGGAGCGAAAGCAUGGGAGCGAACAGGAUU